AGUGAACGCUGGCGGUAGGCCUAACACAUGCAAGUCGAACGGCAGCACAGUAAGAGCUUGCUCUUACGGGUGGCGAGUGGCGGACGGGUGAGGAAUACAUCGGAAUCUACUUUUUCUUGGGGGAUAACGUAGGGAAACUUACGCUAAUACCGCAUACGACCUACGGGUGAAAGCAGGGGAUCUUCGGACCUUGCGCGAGUGAAUGAGCCGAUGUCGGAUUAGCUAGUUGGCGGGGUAAAGGCCCACCAAGGCGACGAUCCGUAGCUGGUCUGAGAGGAUGAUCAGCCACACUGGAACUGAGACACGGUCCAGACUCCUACGGGAGGCAGCAGUGGGGAAUAUUGGACAAUGGGCGCAAGCCUGAUCCAGCCAUACCGCGUGGGUGAAGAAGGCCUUCGGGUUGUAAAGCCCUUUUGUUGGGAAAGAAAAGCAGCAGGUUAAUACCCCGCUGCUCUGACGGUACCCAAAGAAUAAGCACCGGCUAACUUCGUG
rnacentral:rRNA from 1 species